ensembl:lncRNA novel transcript, antisense to SOX4
GCGGCCGGCGGCGGGGGACGAGGCGGCGCUGCUGCGGCCGCUCAGGCUGGGCGCGUCGGGCGAGCAGCCCGCGCCCUCCUCCUCGUACAGGCCCAGGGGGUCGCUGGGGUCGGCUCCCGCGCCCACGCCGCCCACGGGCGACGACGACGUGCCCAGGCCGCCGAACAGGUGACUGAUUUGGGCUUUGAAUCCCUGUGAACCCUCUGGGUUACAUUAAGGGGUCCUGGAAUCUACAUAUCAAGUAUUAUCAAGGACAGAAUAACGUAUUGCAAUAUGUGUACUGCUCUUUUUCAUGCUUCUCUGUUAUACAGAAUUCAUAUUUGGGCUCAAACACAUUUUCUGCAGGAGCUGGAAGGCUGAUGUCUCCUGGGCCAUAGCCCAGCCAUUUGUCACACCUGAUGCCAUUUUUGGAAGUAGACCUUUCGCUCUGAAAAUGAACAAGCCCAAAGUGGCUGGGCCAGGAGACCCACACUGCAGAAGGAGACAGGGCAAGGAGAGCAGCAUGCUCUUCCCUUUCUUUGAACUUACAGAACUUAUUGCCUGGAACUCUGGGUCUGUAAUAACUGUUUCUGACUUUACUCUGUAUUCUCUUUUACAGGGGAUUGUAUUUGAACCUUGGGUACCACGGUGAUAACGUUAUUCUCUUUUUGUGCUUUUGUGGCUGGGCCGGGAUGGGUGGAAGUUAGAGGGCUUCUGCACCACCUCUCCUCAGCUGCUUCACUUCCCUCUCCCUGGGGUAGUGAUCUUGCUUUCCAUAACACUCUGGCGGCAGAGAAUCUGUGGGACCCAUUCCAUGGGCAAGCCAAGGCCAACAGCAAAAGCAAAGGGGAGAUGUCUCCCUGGCUCGUGGCCCACUGACAGGGCCGAUAUGACAUUCCAACUCCUUGGCCUUUGUGGACUGAGUCCUCUGGGGACUUUAGGCAAAGCCUCUUCCCCCAAAGCUUAAUCUCAUUAACAGAGGAGCGCUUAGCUCUGAAAAAGACAGUAUGUCUCAGCAGGUGUACAGAUUGACGUUAGGUUCUGCAAGUAAAAACAUAGUCAAGAAUAAAGCUAUGUUACCUGUAAGGGUAAGAGGCUUGAUUGUACAUUUUGGAUACAGCGACCCUUAAUACAGUACAUGGUUUUAAUCUGGUUUCUCUAAAAUCUUUAAAAUCAUGCUGAAACUAUGCCUAUCGAUAAUAACCCUGUUGAAUUGUAAUGCUAUGAUUACAGAAUUUAUACAGAAAUAGCACUAGCCCUUUAAAUAUCCAUGCACCAUAAGAGGCAGGAACAACAGGAUAAAUCUCCAUUCUCUAGAAUCCCACGUUGGUUGUAUAUGGUGUUUUUGUGUGUUUGUUUGUUUGUUGUUAAUAAUCUCUUUAAAAUGCCUUUUUUCAAUAUCAGUCCAAAUAAUGUCAACCUACCGUGAUGAACAAUUGAAAAGGAGAAAGAAGAAGGAGGAGAAACAAGAGGAAAAUAACCAUAGCUAAAGGCCAGGGGAGGCGUGCCUGUGUGAGGAUCCAUGCUAUUAAGUGGUUUAAAUGCGCCACUUCGUGUAGUGUACAUAACUAUCUAAGAAGGACACAUUAUCAGCCCUGUGUGACACAAGAGGAAGAUGAGUCCCAGAGAAGGGGAUCAACUUGUCCAAGGUCACACAGAUAAUUAGUGGUAUAGGCAGGACUCAAACAUAGGCCAACUGACCCAAGAGCUUUAGGCUUAACCAUUGGGAUUUUUAUUUUUAAGCAUUUUGGAUUUGGGGAUUGAAAUAAAUGAACACAUGAAACAAACUGGCAUAAUUAAA